AAGAGAAACCAAUCUGUCACUUUCCUUUACAUGGAAAUUCAUUUCGAACUGGUCGAGUUGCUUUCGGAGCCACAUUCCUGUUCCAUUUUUAGAGCAACUGUGGGUGGUUUUUACGUUCUUGUGGAAAGGAAUAAAAGGAAGACUGACACUGUGUGUGUCUUCAUUUUGAAGAAGGUGCUCUGGGUAUUAACGUCACUUUUCUGGUGCGCAAGACACAAGACAGUUUGAGAAACAGGCUCACAAUCAGAAUUACAGAGAGCUCCCAAGCAUCAGCUACAGUACGUAUCUCUCCUCUAUCAACUGAAAAGGAUAAUGACCAGUGAGGAGGGGGAAGAUGACGAUGAUGAUGAUAAUGACAAGGACAAAAAUAUGUAGGUUUGCUGCCAAGGGUGAACCUGGGAACUGAUUGAAAAACGGAACCAAUAUAUCAGUUGCUUCCAUACCAUGGUUGAGUAUGGUUCUUGAGCGUUGACAAGCAAUAUUCUUUGCCAUAAUGGCAUAAAAUAAAGCUCCUGUCAAUCUGAAAGGGGAUGUGACACGGUGCUAUUCACCCUGUUACUGUAAUAUCUGCUGAUGCAGAAGUAGGCUAUGGUGUUUUCUGUCUGAAACACUAUUGCCAAAAAAGAAAGAAAAAAGCACUCGGAGAGUGCUGACCUCCGCCAAGAAUCCUUUAAAAAAAUCUGGGAUCCAGACGGUGAUCCGGAUCACCGCCAAAAUUUAAUGGAUUGUUACUUGUGCCCAGUCACACCUCUGGGAAAAAUUUCAGAGCGAUCUGUUCAUAACUUUUUCUGUAAUGUUGCUAACAGACAAACCAACAAACCAACAAACUAGAAAAGCACUCGGAGAGUGCAGACUUCCACCAAGAAUCCUUUAAAAAAUUCCGGGAUCCAGACGGUGAUCCGGAUCACCGCCAAAAUUUAAUGGAUUGUUACUUGUGCCCAGUCAUACCUCUGGAAAAAAAUUCAGAGCAAUCCGUUCAUAACUUUUUCCGUAAUGUUGCUAACAGACAAACCAACCAACCAACAAACAAACCAACGCCACCGAAAACAUAACCUCCUUGGCGGAGGUAACAAACCAACGCUACCGAAAACAUAACCUCCUUGGUGGAGGUAAGAAAUCCAAACAGAUGGGCUUGUAUAUUCUCGAUUGAUGAACGAAUGGAUGUAACUCCGACACGGAUUCCUCGCCCCGCCUUGCACCCAAUGCUACUGCGAUUGGCUCUGGAUCCACUCCGACUCUGACCAGGAUAAAGAAGAUACUGAACUGAAUGAAUUAAUUAUCAAGAAUCUUCCAAAAGAAUCUCUAAUGCAUGUUAACCCUAUACUGUAAUCUCCUGUAAAAUUUGUGUCAGGCCUAAGAAUGAAAUCCAUAACAUGUAAUCUCCUUAACAUGCAUUUUUCACAGAAAUCAGGAAAAUAGACAAGCCUCAUUUGGUCCAUUUGUUCUUUAUGCAUAAUACUGUUAUUUUAGUGUAGUGCAUACCAUAUGUGCAAAUGGUUACUUACUGGUCUUAAUGAUGAGCCAGUAUCUUUAUAUGUAAUACUGAUGGUGUUUCUAUGAAUACACAGUUAAUGUUGAAUAAGGCAGACUCGAGGUUCAUCUAUAUGCCUUGACUUUGUCUUCAGUAUAUAUGUGUGUCUUAACAGUUGUAGAUUGUGUAUCUUAUUUACUUUAGGAUAAGUGAGCAGCAGUAGUUGUAAAGAAUACAAUCCUACAACAACUUAUACUAAUGAUCACUGCAGUAGAAAAAUUGUUGCCAGCGGUUGUUGAGUUGCCAUCAGGCUUACAGUACUAUAUGUAUAGAUUAUAUAUUAUAUAGUACUAUAUUUUAUGGAGUGACAAAGAUAUAUAUUAGCUUUGUCACUCCAUAAUAUCUAUUCCAGUCCAGCAGAUACCCCAUAUACACUUAUUUACAUUUUGUAAAUAAAAAAUAAGUAAUGUUUUGAUUGUACGAUGUUGAAUUAACAUUAUGUACAUUGACAAAACAUUCAAUCUAAUGAUCAUUUGGUGUUGUUAUAUAUAUUGGUGCUGUUAUGUUCCUAAAGUACUUGGUUGUGUAACUGGUGGGGUCCAUCAUAGAUUGGCUCAUCUGGUUGUGAUGAUUGUGACUUUACACCAUUCAUUUUCAUUCUAUUACCAAACACCACACAUUUUCAGAACAUCAGUUGUUGUUGUUUUUUUUACUUGCACGCCUGAAGCGUAGUAUGCUGACCGGAAUGCCAGCUUUGAUGGACUUACACAGAAACCUCCCACCACACAUUCUUUCUAAUGAUUUUUUUUCUUUUCUUUAACCUGUUCAAAUAAACGCUGUAAAACCAAAAGUGGCUUAAAAAUAAUGAAAUUAAAUAUUUCAACAAUUAAAAAAAAAAUACUAUAAACAGCAGUGAACCAUAAUAAAUGAAAUAAAGUCAAUAUUUGGUGUGAGACGACCCUUUGCUUAAAAAAAAUAGUAGUCUCAGGUACAAUGAGCUGUAGGUUUUACUGAGCAUCUUACAGAACCAGCCACAGUUCUUCUGGACACUUUGACUGACACACUCGCGUCUUCAUGUUGCACCAAAACCCAGCAGCCUUCAUUAUGUUUUUUUUUUUAAUCUGAAAAGUGCUCUCUUAUGUAAUAUUCUGCUCAGAUGCUGUCAGUAACAACACUGAAAGUCAUAGUUCAGAGUGACAUCCAAACAAGUGGGGAAUUUGGUUAUUUGGAGACUCCAGCUGAAUUAUGGGAUAGCGUAGUGUGGUACAUUUGCAUACUACAGGUGCCGUAGAUCCUGAUCCAGGUAGCAUUUGGCUUCUAUUAAAUGCCUAUGAAUAUUCAGACACCCUUCAUACUGCUUUGUGAGUACUAAUAGUAUGGGAUUAUGAGUAUUUGGAUUCAGCCCUCAUGUUGAUUCAGUAUCAGGGGGACACUGGGAAUGACCACAUGAUUCCUACAUGGCAACAUACUAUAAAAAAGUUCAUGUUUUAGUAUUAAAGUAGGUGCAAAUGCAACCUUAAGUGGGAGUAGUGAAAAAAAGCAACAAAGACAGUACUUGCAGAAUUCAUUUUGCAUUCAAGGAGAAUCUAUCAUUAAGUUUCACUUUCCUUUCCAUGGCAAUCCCUGACCACAUUUGAAAAGGACCACAGCUGUAUAGUGGGUGGUUUCCGUGCUCGAGAAUAAAAGGAAACGACUGUUCCACUCUCUCCAUUUUGAAGAACCUUCUCUGGGUGUUAUUUUUAAUCUUCUGGUGAAACACGAGACUUGGUAUAAACUUAAGCCAAACUUCACUGUGAUAAUGACAGGCAAGGAGGUGGAUGAUGAAGAUGAUGAUGAUGAUAACUGUGACGAAGGAAGAUGGUAGAAGGUCUGCUGCCAGGGGUAGACCACGGGAGCUGAACCAAUUGAAGAACAAGCAUGCGUCCGAGAGCGACAUGUUGAUUGGUUGAGCUGGGCUCCUGUGUGAAACUUUCUGAAUGAAAAUCACAGUGUAUGCAUAUUACCUAUGAACUGCUUUGCUGAGUGAAGUGCUUAAUAGAUACAUUAUAAAUGAUUCAUGUAGAAAUUAUCUUUCUUUAUGUUGUGUAAUGUCAAUGUUAUGGAGUAAUACGAUGUCCAAAAAUGUCUCUCUGUACUUCUCAAAUGUCAUGAUCAUGAUGUGUUUCGAAAGCCAAGACAAUGAAAAAUAUUUUUGAGUUACAAGUACUGUUUAUGACAAGUCAGAUGAAUACAGAACAUGAUGUAUAUGUGGAUCAUCACUUUUUCAGUUGACUCCAUAAUCUAUUGGUUUCUUCCGUAUUUCACUUGGUUGUGUGAGUGGGGCCCUGAUAGGCUGGUUGAUCUGACACUUGAAAUGUCGUCAGUUCAUUUGCAUGCCAGCCUGGAUGGAGUCACACAGAAACACCCCACUUUCUUUUCUUUUCUUUUCUUUUCUUUUCUUUUCUUUAGUCCAACCAUUUCAUAUAAAUUUGAACAGAAGAGAGGAAUAAAUAAAUUUAAAUGUUCCUUGAA